rnacentral:rRNA from 1 species
GAGUGGCGGACGGGUGAGUAAUGCUUGGGAACUUGCCUUUGCGAGGGGGAUAACAGUUGGAAACGACUGCUAAUACCGCAUAAUGUCUUCGGACCAAACGGGGCUUCGGCUCCGGCGCAAAGAGAGGCCCAAGUGAGAUUAGCUAGUUGGUAAGGUAACGGCUUACCAAGGCGACGAUCUCUAGCUGUUCUGAGAGGAAGAUCAGCCACACUGGGACUGAGACACGGCCCAGACUCCUACGGGAGGCAGCAGUGGGGAAUAUUGCACAAUGGGGGAAACCCUGAUGCAGCCAUGCCGCGUGUGUGAAGAAGGCCUUCGGGUUGUAAAGCACUUUCAGUUGUGAGGAAAAGUUAGUAGUUAAUACCUGCUAGCCGUGACGUUAACAACAGAAGAAGCACCGGCUAACUCCGUGCCAGCAGCCGCGGUAAUACGGAGGGUGCGAGCGUUAAUCGGAAUUACUGGGCGUAAAGCGCACGCAGGCGGUUUGUUAAGCUAGAUGUGAAAGCCCCGGGCUCAACCUGGGAUGGUCAUUUAGAACUGGCAGACUAGAGUCUUGGAGAGGGGAGUGGAAUUCCAGGUGUAGCGGUGAAAUGCGUAGAUAUCUGGAGGAACAUCAGUGGCGAAGGCGACUCCCUGGCCAAAGACUGAC